rnacentral:rRNA from 1 species
AGCGAACGCUGGCGGCAGGCUUAACACAUGCAAGUCGAGCGGGCACUUUCGGGUGUCCGCGGCGGACGGGUGAGUAACGCGUGGGAACGUGCCCUCUGGUUCGGAAUAACUCAGGGAAACUUGAGCUAAUACCGGAUACGCCCUUUUGGGGAAAGGCUUGCUGCCGGAGGAUCGGCCCGCGUCUGAUUAGCUAGUUGGUGAGGUAACGGCUCACCAAGGCGACGAUCAGUAGCUGGUCUGAGAGGAUGAUCAGCCACACUGGGACUGAGGCACGGCCCAGACUCCUACGGGAGGCAGCAGUGGGGAAUAUUGGACAAUGGGCGCAAGCCUGAUCCAGCCAUGCCGCGUGAGUGAUGAAGGCCUUAGGGUUGUAAAGCUCUUUUAUCCGGGACGAUAAUGACGGUACCGGAGGAAUAAGCCCCGGCUAACUUCGUG